UUGACAGGCUUCAGCCUCCCUUGUCAGUGCAGAAGCCCAACUGCCUAUGUCCUUGAAGUUGAACUGCCCUUGAAUGGAAGGGUUGAGACGUCUUAGCGAGAAGUUGGCCUGUUUGAGUUUAGAAGCUUUUCUCGGACGAUGACAUGGAGAUCCAUUGAUAGAGGGCAGGUGACUCGCUCUAAUCCCACCUCAGGUCUCCCUCUCUCUCUCUCUCUCUCUCUCUCUCUCUCUCUCUGUUUUAAUUAUUUAUUUCCCUCAUAAUUUUCUGUUUGGUUGUAGAGAAAAAAAAAAAAAACAGCUUUUUGCAUUUUCUCAGCAACGAAACAGUUAUCGAAGCGAAACCUUUUUCCCCCUUCAUACGCUGCCUCUCCCUCUUUAUUCUCUGCUUAGUUACGAAGGUGUUUGGUUUAUCUUCAUAGUCUACAUUUUUCUCUCUUCAUUUAUUGCUUAAUUUAGAAGGUCUGUGAUUAAUGAAGAAGAAUGUCGGUGAGAAACUUGAAAUGUACAUCGAUAUAAUUAAUUUUAAGUUUUGAGGGUAAAGGAAGAUAAUUUCAAGUCGUCAUUUGGUUAAAUAUUAAUAAUUUGGGGGCUAUAAUGUAAUUUUUGAACUUGCUUAUAACACUGAUUUAAAAGGGUAACAAUGGUAUUUCGAUAGCCAAUGGGGGAAUCUAUAUAUACGGAGUCUAAUGAUCGGUAGAAUUGAUGUUUCCAAAAUCAGGGGUUUAAACGUAAGUCUGCAAACUUAGUGAGAACAAUAAUCCGACCAUCAAUAAAAUUAUGUUAUUUUGUUUUAAGUAUCUAAUCGUCUUGAGUCAACAUAAAACCCUCCAUGAGAUUCAUAGUUGAAUUACUUGGGUUCCUUGAUUGUAGACCAUGCGGAUUUGAAAUUGUCUUUCAUUCCAAAGCAUAACUUGUAUUGAUGCUCUUCAUAUUCGCCUGAAGUCCGCUUCCAAAAAUAUGGCCAUCCCUACUUACACCCUUAUGUCAAUCCACAAGCCUUUCAUCCAUUCUUAUUGGAGCACGGCGAGGGGACAAGUCAAAAUAGAAAAACUUACAACUCAUUGAGAUCUGCAGGAUAUUCAACUGGGAUUUGGCAUUGCAAUUUGCCAGAAUUUUCUUCAAGGUUCAAGGUUGACAAGAUGAAAACAGUAAGGGACACUCUUAGCAUGGUCCGGUAGACACUUAUCUUUUGGUCAGCGAGAAAAAUAGGACAUGGCUUAAAGUCUCAUCGAUUGCACAACAUAACUAUUUGGAAAUAAUUCUAAUGAAAACAAACAACAGGGAAACUACAACAGUAGAAAACUUACAGUAAUCUAGCUGCUGUGGCAACAAGCAGUACCAGUGUCAAAAAAGUUCAAACGAUUUCAGAUAUAAUUUCACAUGAACCCAUUACAUUAUCAAUCCUAACCUGUAAAAUAUAAUCCUCAAUGGCUUCUGCCCUGUUGCCUUCCUAAAAGAUAUCAGAAGAUCUCUGCAGAAAAGAGUAUGUAUUAUAAAUACUAAUACAUGCAAAUGAGGUGAGCAGAGAGAGGGAGAGUCCACCACUGAUGAGAACAAAUUAUCGUUACCUGAUCAUGCCACCACUAACCGUCCCACGAACAGGAUCGUGCCAUGUUUUAUACAAGUCUUGUAUGAGUUCCUGUCUGUGAGCUUGAGCACAAACUAAUCCAGCGUAUUUUGUCACUUCAGGCCAAUCCUGUGAAGCUACUACCUACAGUUGGAUGAAAACCUAUCAGUAACAAUGUCUGAACAAAUGAUGCAUGAAUGAAAAGAUUCUAAGAAACAUGAAAUUUGGUAAAGAACUAUACAGCAGCAAUUGAGGGACUAGAAUCUUCCCCAUUUUCUGGAUGAGUCACAUCUGCUCCAAAUAUUAUAGUUGGGAUGUCGCUAACUAAUGGAAUUCGACAACUGAUAGCAUCCAGUAGCACAGUAUUUCUGCCACCCAUCUACAGAAAAGUAAAAGGAGGGAAAUGAACAUCGGUAAUUUGACAGGACAUAAAGGAUCUGCAUUAAUGAGAACUUUACAGAGUUACGAUGCGCAUGUUUGCCAAUUGAUAGUAUAAAUUUCAGAACCAUAAAUAUUAUACAUGUCUUGCCAUUCUCAUAAUAGUGCCAAACUAAGUAGCUGUGGAAUAAUUCAUUAUCUGUGAUAAUUCAAGAAGCCCUCAAAUCCCAGGACUA